rnacentral:lncRNA from 1 species
ACGCAUUGAUGGCCCUCUCUAUCAUUGAUAUGUUUGAUCGAGAUAUAAUUUUAGAUUUUACACGUAAGGAGAAGCUCAUUAUUGACGUUCAUGUGCUGACCUCCUCGAAAGUAAUAAAUAAUACAAAAUAUUAGGAUAGGUUUGAGAUAACCUCAUUAGGUUUUGUUUUAAAUUGAUAUUUCAUCUAACUGUUAGCUUGGUUUUACAGAUAUGGUUGAAGCUAGAAAAAAUUCAACAUUGCCCUAUACCAACAUGCCCUGAGGCCUAAGAGAGAAAAAAAAAUCUAGCUUAGGGCCCCAUCGAGUGAAGAAGACAAACUGGUUAGCAUGUUCAUACCCUGUAUUUUUU